rnacentral:rRNA from 1 species
UGGGGAAUAUUGCGCAAUGGGCGGAAGCCUGACGCAGCGACGCCGCGUGGGGGAUGACGGCCUUCGGGUUGUAAACCUCUUUCAGCAGGGACGAAGCUAACGUGACGGUACCUGCAGAAGAAGCGCCGGCUAACUACGUGCCAGCAGCCGCGGUAACACGUAGGGGGCGAGCGUUGUCCGGAAUCAUUGGGCGUAAAGAGCUCGUAGGCGGCUCAGUAAGUCGGGUGUGAAACCCUCAGGCUCAACCUGGGGACGCCACCCGAUACUGCUGUGGCUAGAGUCCAGUAGGGGAGUGUGGAAUUCCCGGUGUAGCGGUGAAAUGCGCAGAUAUCGGGAGGAACACCAGCGGCGAAGGCGGCACUCUGGGCUGGAACUGACGCUGAGGAGCGAAAGCGUGGGUAGCAAA